UACGUAGGGGGCAAGCGUUGUUCGGAAUUACUGGGCGUAAAGGGCGCGUAGGCGGCACGGCAAGUCAGGAGUGAAAGCCCUGGGCUCAACCCGGGAACUGCUUUUGAAACUGCCGAGCUAGAGUGCGGAAGGGGCAACUGGAAUUCCCAGUGUAGCGGUGAAAUGCGCAGAUAUCAGGAGGAACACCGGUGGCGAAGGCGGGUCUCUGGGCCGUAACUGACGCUGAGGAGCGAAAGCGUGGGGAGCGAACAGG
rnacentral:rRNA from 1 species